GUGGGACAGCAGACUGUCUAAGGCUUUCGUCAUUUCAAAGAGGAAGAAUGAAGAGAUUACGCUACCGUGGUGUUUCCACUUUUUCUUCCCGAUAGCGUCCAGCCAUUUGAUCAAACAGGCAGCCUCGGACUCUGCCGCUCUCUCUCCUGCUCUGAGCACCCCAGUUGUAAUGUCGAAUAACCUGAAAUGAGUUAUCUUUUGUGGAGGUGGCUGAGAGGUCAGUUGAGAGAGAGAGAAAAAAACACUUCGCAACGAAGACUGUCUCAGUGGGGAACGAACAAUAGUGUCUGGGUUUUGGGGACCCAAUCCACAUCGUAAUCCACAUCCACUGUGUUUCCAGUCCUGCCUAAUUUAGCACGCUGCCGUCGACCCGCCUCGUGCAGUACUGAACAAACUGCUCUGGGAGAGUUUAAGGACAAGUGAAUCAAAUAACGUGGAAUGGGCACGGCGCGCAGGGGUUGCCAGUCAGGUCGGAUUGCGCACUGGGGAAUCUUGCGCGAAGGAGACACAGCCACGCACGUGGAGCUAUUUGGCGGAACGAUCCUUCUGCAUCUUUCAUGUUACAUUUCACGGAAGCAUUGGUGGCAAGUGUCAGAACGACGGAUAUUCGACGUUUACGCGUCUUAUUUAUUGACUCCUUGUCUCAUAAUUUAAAGGCUGGGUUAAAAGGCGACAGUUGCUAAUGAACAUUGGUCCAAGUCAGAGCAAACUCCAGGGGUUCCCUAACCGCGUAAACCAAGAGGCGAAUCUUUAGCAACAAGCUCUACUAGCAACUUAGAAUACCAAUGCUUUAUUUGUUUUAUACAGUCAUAUGCUUACUUGUCGUUUCCAAAUAUAAAGAGAUG